UACAGAGGGGGCAAGCGUUGUCCGGACUUACUGGGCGUAAAGGGUGCGCAGGCGGUCUGAUGCGUCGUCGCUGAAAGCUCUCGGCUCAACUGAGAGAGGCGUGGCGAUACGAUCAGACUCGAGUCUCUGAGAGGGUGGCGGAACUCCUGGUGUAGUGGUGAAAUGCGCAGAUAUCAGGAAGAACACCCGUGGCGAAAGCGGCUCUCUGGAACGGUACUGACGCUGAGACGCGAAAGCGUGGGGAGCGAACAGG
rnacentral:rRNA from 1 species